GUGCCAGCAGCCGCGGUAAUACGUACCGUCCAAACGUUAUUCGGAAUUACUGGGCUUAAAGGGUAUGUAGGCGGCGCUGUUAGUCGGGUGUGAAAUCCCUCGGCUCAACCGAGGAAUUGCGCCCGAUACUGCAGUGCUUGAGGGAGACAGAGGUAAGCGGAACUGAUGGUGGAGCGGUGAAAUGCGUUGAUAUCAUCAGGAACACCGGUGGCGAAAGCGGCUUACUGGGUCUCUUCUGACGCUGAGAUACGAAAGCUAGGGUAGCGAAGGGGAUUAGAUACCCCCGUAGUCC
rnacentral:rRNA from 1 species